rnacentral:rRNA from 1 species
UACGUAGGUGGCAAGCGUUGUCCGGAUUUACUGGGCGUAAAGGGCGUGCAGGCGGCCCGUUAAGUGCAUGGUGAAAGCUCCCGGCUCAACUGGGAGAGGUCUGUGUAUACUGGCGGGCUUGAGGGGGGUAGAGGAAAGUGGAAUUCCCGGUGUAGUGGUGAUAUGCGUAGAGAUGUGGAGGAACACCAAUGGCGAAGGCAGCCUUCUGGGCCAACACUGACGCUCAUGCACGAAAGCGUGGGGAGCAAACAGG